GAAGAAAUGUCUUAGUGGAUAAGAGAGCUUGCUGUACAAGCAUGAGGACCUGAGUUCAAAUCCCAGCAUCUCCU
rnacentral:tRNA from 1 species